rnacentral:rRNA from 1 species
AUUGAACGCUGGCGGCAGGCCUAACACAUGCCAGUCGAGCGGAUGAAGGGAGCUUGCUCCUGGAUUCAGCGGCGGACGGGUGAGUAAUGCCUAGGAAUCUGCCUGGUAGUGGGGGAUAACGUCCGGAAACGGGCGCUAAUACCGCAUACGUCCUGAGGGAGCAAGUGGGGGAUCUUCGGACCUCACGCUAUCAGAUGAGCCUAGGUCGGAUUAGCUAGUUGGUGGGGUAAAGGCCUACCAAGGCGACGAUCCGUAACUGGUCUGAGAGGAUGAUCAGUCACACUGGAACUGAGACACGGUCCAGACUCCUACGGGAGGCAGCAGUGGGGAAUAUUGGACAGUGGGCGAAAGCCUGAUCCAGCCAUGCCGCGUGUGUGAAGAAGGUCUUCGGAUUGUAAAGCACUUUAAGUUGGGAGGAAGGGCAGUAAGUUAAUACCUUGCUGGUUUGACGUUACCAACAGAAUAAGCACCGGCUAACUUCGUG